GACGAACGCUGGCGGCGUGCUUAACACAUGCAAGUCGAACGGAAAGGCCCUGCUUUUGUGGGGUGCUCGAGUGGCGAACGGGUGAGUAACACGUGAGUAACCUGCCCUUGACUUUGGGAUAACUUCAGGAAACUGGGGCUAAUCCCGGAUAGGAGCUCCUGCUGCAUGGUGGGGGUUGGAAAGUUUCGGCGGUUGGGGAUGGACUCGCGGCUUAUCAGCUUGUUGGGGGGGUGGUGGCGUACCAAGGCUUUGACGGGUAGCCGGCCUGAGCGGGUGACCGGCCACAUUGGGACUGAGAUACGGCCCAGACUCCUACGGGAGGCAGCAGUGGGGAAUAUUGCACAAUGGGCGGAAGCCGGAUACAGCAACGCCGCGUGCGGGAUGACGGCCUUCGGGUUGUAAACCGCGUUCGCCUGUGACGAAGCGUGAGUGACGGUAAUGGGUAAAGAAGCACCGGCUAACUACGUG
rnacentral:rRNA from 1 species